GAUGAACGCUGGCGGCGUGCUUAACACAUGCAAGUCGAACGGAAAGGCUCCUGCUUGCAGGGGUACUCGAGUGGCGAACGGGUGAGUAACACGUGGGUGAUCUGCCCUGCACUUCGGGAUAAGCCUGGGAAACUGGGUCUAAUACCGGAUAGGACGAUGGUUUGGAUGCCAUUGUGGAAAGUUUUUCGGUGUGGGAUGAGCUCGCGGCCUAUCAGCUUGUUGGUGGGGUAAUGGCCUACCAAGGCGUCGACGGGUAGCCGGCCUGAGAGGGUGUACGGCCACAUUGGGACUGAGAUACGGCCCAGACUCCUACGGGAGGCAGCAGUGGGGAAUAUUGCACAAUGGGCGCAAGCCUGAUGCAGCGACGCCGCGUGGGGGAUGUCGGCCUUCGGGUUGUAAACUCCUUUCGCUAGGGACGAAGCGCAAGUGACGGUACCUGGAGAAGAAGCACCGGCUAACUACGUG
rnacentral:rRNA from 1 species